UACAUAGGUGGCGAACGUUAUCCGGAUUUAUUGGGCGUAAAGCGUCCGCAGGUGGCUAUGUAAGUCUGCUGUUAAAGAGUGAGGCUCAACCUCAUAAGAGCAGUGGAAACUACAUGGCUAGAGUGCGUUCGGGGCAGAGGGAAUUCCUGGUGUAGCGGUGAAAUGCGUAGAGAUCAGGAAGAACACCGGUGGCGAAAGCGCUCUGCUAGGCCGCAACUGACACUCAUGGACGAAAGCUAGGGGAGCGAAUGGG
rnacentral:rRNA from 1 species